rnacentral:rRNA from 1 species
GAAGCUUGCUUCAAUUGCCGGCGACCGGCGCACGGGUGAGUAACGCGUAUCCCACCUUCCGCUUACUCGGGGAUAGCCUUUCGAAAGAAAGAUUAAUACCCGAUGGUAUGAUGAGAUUGCAUGAUAGCAUCAUUAAAGAUUUAUUGGUAAGCGAUGGGGAUGCGUUCCAUUAGGUAGUAGGCGGGGUAAUGGCCCACCUAGCCAACGAUGGAUAGGGGUUCUGAGAGGAAGGUCCCCCACAUUGGAACUGAGACACGGUCCAAACUCCUACGGGAGGCAGCAGUGAGGAAUAUUGGUCAAUGGACGAGAGUCUGAACCAGCCAAGUAGCGUGAAGGAUGAAGGUCCUACGGAUUGUAAACUUCUUUUAUAAGGGAAUAAAACCUCCCACGUGUGGGAGCUUGUAUGUACCUUAUGAAUAAGGAUCGGCUAACUCCGUGCCAGCAGCCGCGGUAAUACGGAGGAUGCGAGCGUUAUCCGGAUUUAUUGGGUUUAAAGGGAGCGCAGACGGGUCGUUAAGUCAGCUGUGAAAGUUUGGGGCUCAACCUUAAAAUUGCAGUUGAUACUGGCGUCCUUGAGUGCGGUUGAGGUGUGCGGAAUUCGUGGUGUAGCGGUGAAAUGCUUAGAUAUCACGAAGAACUCCGAUUG